GACGAACGCUGGCGGCGUGCUUAACACAUGCAAGUCGAACGGAAAGACGCUGAUCUUGUGGGGUUCUCGAGUGGCGAACGGGUGAGUGACACGUGAGUAACAUGCACUUGACUUAGGGAUAACUUCAGGAAACUGGGGCUAAUACCGGGUAGGAGCUACUGCUGCACGGUGGGGGUUGGAGAGAUUCGGCGGUUGUGGCUGGUCUCGCGGCUUAUCAGCUUGCUGGUGGGGUAGUGGCUUACCAAGGCUUUGAAGGGUAGCCGGCCUGAGAGGGUGACCGGCCACAUUACGACUGCGGUACGGCCCAGACUCCUACGGUACGCAGCAGUGGGGAACAUUGCACAAUGGGCGGACGCCUGUUGCAGCAACGCCGCGUUCGGGAUGACGUCCUUCGGGUUGUAAACCGCUUUCGCCGGUGACGAAGCGUUAGUGACGGUAAUUGGUAAAGAAGCACCGGCUAACUACGUG
rnacentral:rRNA from 1 species